CGGGGCGUGGCUCAGCCUGGUAGAGCACCUGGUUCGGGACUAGGGGGUCGGAGGUUCGAAUCCUCUCGCCCCGA
rnacentral:tRNA from 1 species